rnacentral:rRNA from 1 species
GACGAACGCUGGCGGCGUGCUUAACACAUGCAAGUCGAACGGUGAAGCUCCAGCUUGCUGGAGUGGAUCAGUGGCGAACGGGUGAGUAACACGUGAGCAACCUGCCCCUGACUCUGGAAUAAGCGCUGGAAACGGCGUCUAAUACUGGAUACGAGAAGGGUCCGCAUGGGCACUUUCUGGAAAGUUUUUCGGUUGGGGAUGGGCUCGCGGCCUAUCAGCUUGUUGGUGAGGUAAAGGCUCACCAAGGCGACGACGGGUAGCCGGCCUGAGAGGGCGACCGGCCACACUGGGACUGAGACACGGCCCAGACUCCUACGGGAGGCAGCAGUGGGGAAUAUUGCACAAUGGGCGAAAGCCUGAUGCAGCGACGCCGCGUGAGGGAUGACGGCCUUCGGGUUGUAAACCUCUUUCAGCAGGGAAGAAGCGAAAGUGACGGUACCUGCAGAAGAAGCACCGGCUAACUACGUG